CCGCCCAUAGCUCAGUUGGUAGAGCACCUGCCUUUUAAGCAGAGGGUCCCUGGUUCGAAUCCAGGUGGGCGGA
rnacentral:tRNA from 1 species